rnacentral:rRNA from 1 species
GUGGGGAAUAUUGGACAAUGGGGGGAACCCUGAUCCAGCCAUGCCGCGUGUGUGAAGAAGGCCUUUUGGUUGUAAAGCACUUUAAGCGAGGAGGAGGCUACCGAGAUUAAUACUCUUGGAUAGUGGACGUUACUCGCAGAAUAAGCACCGGCUAACUCUGUGCCAGCAGCCGCGGUAAUACAGAGGGUGCAAGCGUUAAUCGGAUUUACUGGGCGUAAAGCGCGCGUAGGUGGCCAAUUAAGUCAAAUGUGAAAUCACCGAGCUUAACUUGGGAAUUGCAUUCGAUACUGGUUGGCUAGAGUAUGGGAGAGGAUGGUAGAAUUCCAGGUGUAGCGGUGAAAUGCGUAGAGAUCUGGAGGAAUACCGAUGGCGAAGGCAGCCAUCUGGCCUAAUACUGACACUGAGGUGCGAAAGCAUGGGGAGCAAACAGGAUUAGAUACCCCGGUAGUCC